AAACAUGGCUCUCUGUAUAUUGAAGAUAGAGAGUCGGACCUGCCCGGUGAAUUUUUUAACGGCCGCGGUACUCUGACCGUGCAAAGGUAGCAAAAUCAUUUGCCUUAUAAUUGAAGGCUAGAAUGAAUGGUUUGACAAGAAUACAACUGUCUCUUUACAAUUACAUAAAAUUUUAUCUGCAGUUGAAGAAGCCUGCAUUUGAAUAAAAGACAAGAAGACCCUAUCGAGCUUAAAAAAAACUGGUGGAAUAACAAACUUAAUCCUAACUUAUAAAUAAAUAAAUAGUCAACUACUGGAAAUUUUGGUUGGGGCGACCGGGGAACAAAAAAAACUUCCUUUAUAAAAAUUUAGAUGCCCAAAUAUUGAUCCAGCAUUAUAUGAUUAAAGAAAUUAGUUACCGUAGGGAUAACAGCAUUAUCUUUUUUAAGAGUUCUUAUCGAAAAAAACGUUUGUGACCUCGAUGUUGGACCAGAAUAUCCUAAAGAUGCAGCCGUCUUUAAGGGUUGGUCUGUUCGACCAUUAAAAUUCUACGUGAUCUGAGUUCAGACCGG
rnacentral:rRNA from 1 species